rnacentral:rRNA from 1 species
AGAGUUUGAUCAUGGCUCAGAACGAACGCUGGCGGCGUGCUUAACACAUGCAAGUCGAACGGGAUUGGAAGCUUGCUUCCAUGAGAGUGGCGCACGGGUGAGUAACGCGUGGAUAACCUGCCCUGGUAUCUGGAAUAACAUCGCGAAAGUGGUGCUAAUACCGGAUAAGCUCACGACUCCCUCGGGAGAUGUGAGAAAAGGUGGCCUCUGAAUAUGCUACCGUAUCAGGAUGGGUCCGCGUACCAUUAGCUAGUUGGUGGGGUAAUGGCCUACCAAGGCUACGAUGGUUAGCUGGUCUGAGAGGAUGAUCAGCCACACUGGAACUGAGACACGGUCCAGACUCCUACGGGAGGCAGCAGUGGGGAAUUUUGCGCAAUGGGGGAAACCCUGACGCAGCAACGCCGCGUGAGUGAUGAAGGCCUUCGGGUCGUAAAGCUCUGUCAGAGGGGAAGAAAUGAUGUUCGGUUAAUACCCGGACUUCUUGACGGUACCCUCAAAGGAAGCACCGGCUAACUCCGUGCCAGCAGCCGCGGUAAUACGGAGGGUGCAAGCGUUGUUCGGAUUUAUUGGGCGUAAAGCGCGUGUAGGCGGUCUCUUAAGUCUGAUGUGAAAGCCCCGGGCUCAACCCGGGAAGUGCAUUGGAUACUGGGAGACUUGAAUACGGGAGAGGGUAGUGGAAUUCCUAGUGUAGGAGUGAAAUCCGUAGAUAUUAGGAGGAACACCGGUGGCGAAAGCGGCUACCUGGACCGAUAUUGGCGCUGAGACGCGAAAGCGUGGGGAGCAAACAGAUUAGAUACCCUGGUAGUCCACGCCGUAAACGAUGAGAACUAGUGUUGCGGGUAUUGACCCCUGCAGUGCCGCAGCUAACGCAUAAGUUCUCCGCCUGGGAAGUACGGUCGCAAGACUAAAACUC